rnacentral:rRNA from 1 species
CCUACGGGAGGCUGCAGUGGGGAAUAUUGCACAAUGGGCGCAAGCCUGAUGCAGCCAUGCCGCGUGUGUGAAGAAGGCCUUCGGGUUGUAAAGCACUUUCGGCGGGGAGGAAGGCGGUGAGGUUAAUAACCUCAUCGAUUGACGUUACCCGCAGAAGAAGCACCGGCUAACUCCGUGCCAGCAGCCGCGGUAAUACGGAGGGUGCAAGCGUUAAUCGGAAUUACUGGGCGUAAAGCGCACGCAGGCGGUCUGUCAAGUCGGAUGUGAAAUCCCCGGGCUCAACCUGGGAACUGCAUUCGAAACUGGCAGGCUAGAGUCUUGUAGAGGGGGGUAGAAUUCCAGGUGUAGCGGUGAAAUGCGUAGAGAUCUGGAGGAAUACCGGUGGCGAAGGCGGCCCCCUGGACAAAGACUGACGCUCAGGUGCGAAAGCGUGGGGAGCAAACAGGAUUAGAUACCCCAGUAGUC